GAUGAACGCUAGCGGCAGGCUUAACACAUGCAAGUCGAGGGGCAGCGCGGGAUAGCAAUAUCCUGGCGGCGACCGGCGGAAGGGUGCGUAACGCGUGAGCGACAUGCCCGUUGCCCGGGGACAACCGGUGGAAACGCCGACUAAUCCCCGAUGGGAUACGAUGCUUCAUGGCAUUGUAUUGAAAGUUACGGCGGCGGCGGGUUGGCUCGCGUCCGAUUAGCUGGUUGGCGGGGGAACGGCCCACCAAGGCUGCGAUCGGUAGGGGUUCUGAGAGGAAGGCCCCCCACAAUGGGACUGAGACACGGCCCAUACUCCUACGGGAGGCAGCAGUGAGGAAAAUUGGUCAAUGGGCGGAAGCCUGAACCAGCCAGGCCGCGUGCGGGAAGGAGGCCCUAUGGGCUGUGAACCGCUUUUGCCUGGGGGCAAUAAGGGCGUCGCGAACGUCCAAUGAGAGUACCAGGCGAAUAAGCAUCGGCUAACUCCGUG
rnacentral:rRNA from 1 species